CCCUUAGAUGUUCUGGGCUGCACGCGUGCUACACUGAUAUUGCCAAUAUGUCAUUCUUAUCCGAAAUGGAUUGGGUAAUCAAGUAAUGAAAUUUCAUGCUUGGAAUCGGUAAUUGCAAUUUUAUCGUGAACGAGGAAUUCCUAGUAAGCACUAGUCAUCAGCUAAUGUUGAUUAUGUCCCUGCCCUUUGUACACACCGCCCGUCGCUACUACUGAUUGGGUGUUCAAGUGAGAUGCUCAGACCCUUGUUGCAUGGUUCAUUAUUGUGCUCCGAAAGGAAAAAGUUUCAAGCUUGAGUGUCUAGAGGAAGUAAAAGUCGUAACA
rnacentral:rRNA from 1 species